rnacentral:pre_miRNA from 1 species
ACAACAUUCGGACCGUCACUCUACAGAGCAAUAGCACCCGCUCGGAGGAAGAUCUUCCCUCCGUCGU